AUUGAACGCUGGCGGCAGGCCUAACACAUGCAAGUCGAACGAGUGGCGGACGGGUGAGUAAUGUCUGGGAAACUGCCUUAUGGAGGGGGAUAACUACUGGAAACUGUAGCUAAUACCGCAUACCAUCGGAUGAGCCCAAGUGGGAUUAGGUAGUAGGUGGGGUAAAGGCUCACCUAGGCGACGAUCCCUAGCUGGUCUGAGAGGAUGACCAGCCAAACUGGGACUGAGACACGGCCCAGACUCCUACGGGAGGCAGCAGUGGGGAAUAUUGCACAAUGGGGGCAAGCCUGACGCAGCCAUGUCGCGUGUAUGAAGAAGGCCUUCGGGUUGUAAAGUUCUUUCAGUGGGGAGGCGUUAACUGCAGAAGAAGCACCGGCUAACUCCGUGCCAGCAGCCGCGGUAAUUC
rnacentral:rRNA from 1 species